GACAGAGGGGGCAAGCGUUGCUCGGAAUCACUGGGCGUAAAGGGCGCGUAGGCGGGUGGGUAAGUCGGUCGUGAAAUCUCCGGGCUCAACCCGGAGGGGACGGCCGAGACUGUACAUCUUGAGGGGAGCAGAGGAGUCUGGAAUUCCCGGUGUAGCGGUGAAAUGUGUAGAGAUCGGGAGGAACACCGGUGGCGAAGGCGGGGCUCUGGGCUCGACCUGACGCUGAGGCGCGAAAGCGUGGGGAGCAAACGGG
rnacentral:rRNA from 1 species